UGAAAUGUUUAUGGGACCACUCGAUGCUUCGAUUGCUUGGUCAGAAGAAGGUUUGGAAGGAAGCCGUAAGUUCCUUGACCGAGUUUACCGUUUGAUUACAAGUAAAGAAAUCCUUGCGGAAAACAAUGGUGCUCUUGACAAGGCUUACAACGAAACAGUCAAAGCUGUUACUGAGCAAAUUGAGUCUCUCAAAUUCAACACAGCUAUUGCCCAACUUAUGGUCUUUGUCAAUGCUGCUAACAAGGAAGAUAAGCUUUAUAUUGACUAUGCCAAAGGCUUUAUUCAAUUGAUUGCACCAUUUGCACCUCACUUGGCAGAAGAACUCUGGCAAACAGUCGCAGAAACAGGUGAGUCAAUCUCUUAUGUAGCUUGGCCAACUUGGGACGAAAGCAAAUUGGUUGAAGAUGAAAUUGAAAUUGUCGUCCAAAUCAAAGGAAAAGUUCGUGCCAAACUCAUGGUUGCUAAAGAUCUAUCACGUGAAGAAUUACAAGAAAUCGCUUUAGCUGAUGAAAAAGUCAAAGCAGAAAUUGACGGUAAGGAAAUCGUGAAAGUAAUUGCGGUACCGAAUAAACUCGUUAAUAUCGUCGUUAAAUAACGAGUUUAUUAGCUCUAUCUGCCACCUUCAAUAGUCCACUGGACUAUUGAAGCCAACUAAAUUAGUUAACAUUGUUGUGAAAUAAAAAGAAGUAACUCUAGAGUAUGAACUUUAGAGUUACUUUUAGAAUAGGUCAGAAUGAAUAGAUUAGUGAACGAUAGCAGGAAGUGUGAAAUUUUAUUAUUUAAGAUUUCUAUUAUUGUAGUGUCAGUUAUAGUAUUAGUAAUGUCAAUAGUGGGUGCAUAUUAUUUUAAAAAUUGUCUUUGGGACAAGGAAAGUUUAAAUUUGACACUCACUUUAGACACUCUCUUUGCAGUUUUUAUUACUUUCUUUAGUUUUUCAAAUGAUAAAUCAAGCAAUAUUUUUGGAAUAUCUCCAAAUGAAAUUAUAAGGACACAGUCUGAAGUGUAUCAAUUUUUAUUUACAAAAUCUUUUGCAACUCUAUUAAUAGUGACAAAUUUGUUAUCCAUUAUUCAUUAUUUUGGAGCCAAAAAUUUAAUAGUUUCUUUUAAUGAAACUUAUCCUCGUAUUCAAUCCAGUGUUGGUAUCAUGUGGCUACCACUGUUUGGUAUUCUGAUAAUCUAUUUUAUUUGGCUCUUAAUAGAGGGAUUAAAAUAUAUCAGAAAAAUAAAUUAUAUUAUUCAAAAUAGGGAAAUAAUCUAUUUUUAUUCGCAGGUAAAAGUUGUAGAUAAACUUACUGAUUCUGAAUCGAAAAAAUACGGUGAAUAUAUUGAUUUGUACGAAUCGUGUCGUCAGAACAAUUUAAGUGUUCUACUUAACUUUCUUCAAAAUUCGGAUGAUAAACGAGGAGUUAUUGCUAGUAACUCAGUGAGAAUUAUGUUUGAAUCUUUGGAUAAAGCAGACCAAAUUGCGGCCCUGAAUAUUUGUAGAAACUAUGUAGCACGAGAAAAUGUUUUAAAUAAAGAAGAUGCAGAAAAAUUGUUAAAUGAAAUUGAUAAAAAACUUGAAAUUAGCAGAUAGGACAAUUCAAAUAGAGUUGAGUAAAAAGUUUGAAAAGUGAAACAAGGAGAAAGCUAUGCCAGUAAAUGAAUAUGGUCAGAUGAUUGGUGAGUCAAUGGAAGGUUAUACACCCGGUGCACUGCCUUCUAUUGAUUUCUUAGAAGGGCGUUAUGCUAGGAUAGAGGCUCUCUCGGUAGAAAAACAUGCGGAGGAUUUGCUAGCUGUUUAUGGCCCGGAUACUCCUCGGGAGAUGUGGACCUAUCUUUUUCAGGAGCCAGUAGCAGAUAUGGGGGAGCUGGUUAGCCUUUUAAAUCAGAUGUUGGCUCGUAAGGACCGUUUUUACUAUGCAAUCAUAGACAAGGCGACUGGUAAGGCUUUGGGAACUUUUUCUCUCAUGCGCAUUGACCAGAAUAACCGAGUAAUAGAAGUCGGAGCAGUCACUUUUUCUCCAGAGCUAAGGGGUACACGGAUAGGAACUGAGGCUCAGUAUCUCCUAGCUCGCUAUAUUUUUGAGGAGCUAAACUAUCGUCGCUACGAGUGGAAAUGCGAUGCCUUAAAUCUGCCAUCCAGACGAGUUGCGGAGCGUUUGGGAUUUGUCUAUGAAGGAACCUUCCGCCAGGCGGUGGUUUAUAAGGGGCGUACGAGAGAUACGGAUUGGUUGUCUAUGAUUGAUAUGGACUGGCCUCAAGUCAAAGAUCGUUUGGAAACAUGGCUGCGUCCUGAAAAUUUUGAUAAAAAUGGACAGCAGUACAAGAGCUUGAGAGAACUUUAAGAGGUGUUGAGAUGAUUACUAUUAAAAAGCAAGAAAUUGUCAAGCUAGAGGAUGUUUUGCAUCUCUAUCAGGCUGUCGGUUGGACAAAUUAUACCCAUCAACCAGAGAUGCUGGAGCAUGCCUUAUCGCAUUCAUUAGUAAUUUAUCUGGCACUUGAUGGUGAUGCUGUGGUG
rnacentral:rRNA from 1 species